rnacentral:lncRNA from 1 species
UAUACUGUAUUGGUUGUUCAUACAUGUAUGGGAUGUAUAGGAGUGUGGUAUACAUAUGUAAUUAAACCACACUUAUACACACACACACACACGUAAGGUAUAUGUCUCUAAUUUUUUUAAGAGUACCUCAAUAGAAUAGGGAAGGAUUAGAUCUAAGUUUUUUCAUGGUUUUCUUUUUUUAAGAUUUAUUUUUAUUUUUUUUAUGUAUCUCUCUAUGUGUGUUCCACAUGUGUGGAUGCCUACACAGGCCUUGGGUUCUUUAGAACUCGAGCUGUACAGGUACCGGUGAGCUGCCUGACACUGGUUCUGGAAACUGAACUUGGGUCCCUGUGUCAAGAGUAGAACAUACUCUUAAACACGGAGCCCUCUCUUCAGCCUCCAGAUCUAGCGACUUCAAUGGAACAUGUAAUCAGAACUUACACCAUGGCCUCUAUAAAGUAUCUAACCCCAUUUCUGAUAAGUUCUGAAGAUAGAGGGAAUGGCCCUUGUCUCUGAAGUCGAGAUUUGUAAGAGGCAUGUUUUAGAGAAAGAACAAUAGAACUUGGAGGACUUUGAUAACCUUAUAAUUUAAAAUAGAUCAGAGUGUAUUUAUUCUUAGGAAUCUUUUAGAUACAUCUCAGUGUGUUUGAAUGCUUUGCUUUGAGUGUAUAGCCGCUCCGUCUGCAGUAGGAGCAUCUGUUUCCUCUUCCUUUUAUAGCAGUGGAAAUAUGGAAAUAUGUUAGAUGUGGUUUCUUAGCUCAAAAUUCCCUGGUUCUUCAUGUCAAAGUCAAUUGAUUCAACUAGUUUAUACAACUGGACAUAUUUCUACAACAGAGUGAGUAAAUAGAAUGCUCCUUAUCGUAUGGCUUGUCGACAGGGCCCAUGUCCUGAGACUGACGGGGCUCUUCCUUUAAAGUGGUUAAGCUUUCCUUUAGUCCAGUCUGAAAGACAGGAAGCUUUCUCUCUGGUGUUUUUUGGGAGACUGUGACAAAGCAUAAUAAAAUAGAGCUAGAGAGACAGCUUAGUUGGUGUAAAGGUCGUGGUGGGAGUAAGAAGACGUGUGUCUUAUCCCUAGACAAGGUAACCAUGGACAAAAUCCAGAACCGGUGGCCAGAAUUUGUAAUCCUAGUGGCGGAGACAGAGGCCUAGAUCCUUGUGGGCCACUUACCUGAGUGUCUAGCCUGCUUAAGCGACUUCCAUGUAAAAGUAAGAGAUGCUCUUUUUUUCAAAAGCAAAGUAGGUGUUAUCCUUAGAAACUCUAGCCCCUCAUCCACAGAGAGAUGCACACCUAUGCAUGCACGCACAUCUACAUGCACAUUCACACACAUAAAUGAAAUAUAUGAAGAAAAUC